rnacentral:lncRNA from 1 species
UUCUUUUUUUUUUCUUUUUUUUUUUGUUGAGAAAUUCUAUGGUUGCAUUCAUAAUUCAGCCAAAAAAGUCACUAGCCACAAAGGACUAAUACAAACUAGCCAUAAAAGGGCAAUUACAAUAACGGAGCGGUCUAAUAUUAAAAUUAAGAAAAUCAGGUAUGGCUCCACUAACGAUCAGGCAAGAUCGAAGAAACUCUGGCAUAGGCAUCCCAACUAAGAUUGCAAACUUAGAAUAAUAAAAAAAAGAUAAAGUUUGAAAAAAUCAAGUCAUAACAAUACAAAUAAAACUCUCACAAAGGAGAGAUGAAAAACUCUCACAAAAGGAGAGGUGAAAACUACACAGAGAACCCAAAGAAUCUCUGCAACUUAUUCCAAACAUAAAGAAAUUGCAAAAAGAUGGUGUUGAAGAUCCGACGCCGAAAUGCAGGUGAAGAUCCGACGUUGAGCCGCAGCCGCCUAUAAUGGUUGGAUGAAAAUUAUAACAAAACUAAGACAAAUAUGGAAAACCCUUUAUCUCUGAAAAUGGGGGAAGAGGUGAAAGGAGGAAGAGAGGAAGAGAAGAGGGGAGAGGGGAGAGGGGAGAGGGGGGAAGAACAAUGGCUUCCUCCCCCCUCAAAGUGAAAAAGACUUUAAAAGUGUUUUUUAGGAGAAAAGAAGCUAGGAUUUCCCAAAAAAUUUCAAACUAUUCAAAUGCAUUACAUUUUAUUAAUAAUAUAUUAAAAUCUAGACAACGAUUUAUAUUAUUAUUAUUAUUAUUUUUUCCUUUACCAGAAAG